GACAGAGGGUGCAAACGUUGCUCGGAAUCAUUGGGCGUAAAGCGCGUGUAGGCGGCUAAGUAAGUCGGGCGUGAAAUCCCACGGCUCAACCGUGGAAGUGCACUCGAAACUGCAUAGCUAGAGUCCUGGAGAGGAAGGUGGAAUGCUUGGUGUAGAGGUGAAAUUCGUAGAUAUCAAGCGGAACACCGGUGGCGAAGGCGGCCUUCUGGACAGUGACUGACGCUGAGACGCGAAAGCGUGGGGAGCAAACAGG
rnacentral:rRNA from 1 species